rnacentral:ncRNA from 1 species
UUUUACAAACAGGGGAGCUUGUGUCAGCAGGCUGAGAGGAAGUAAUCUAACUUCGACCCUUUACCUGAUGCGGGUAAUGCCGCCGUAGGAAGUCAUACUGAGAGAUUC